rnacentral:rRNA from 1 species
AGUAGCGGCGAGUGAAGCGGCAAGAGCUCAGAUUUGAAAUCGUGUUUCGGCACGAGUUGUAGAGUGUAGGCGGGAGUCUCUGUGGAGCGCGGUGUCCAAGUCCCUUGGAACAGGGUGCCUGAGAGGGUGAGAGCCCCGUAGGGUGCUGCGCGAAGCUUUUGAGGCCCUGCUGACGAGUCGAGUUGUUUGGGAAUGCAGCUCCAAGCGGGUGGUAAAUUCCAUCUAAGGCUAAAUAUUGGCGAGAGACCGAUAGCGAACAAGUACUGUGAAGGAAAGAUGAAAAGCACUUUGAAAAGAGAGUGAAACAGCACGUGAAAUUGUUGAAAGGGAAGGGUAUUGGGCUCGACAUGGGGGGUGCGCACCGCUGUCUCUUGUAGGCGGCGCUCUGGGCGCCCUCUGGGCCAGCAUCGGUUCCUGCUGCGGGAGAAGGGGCUCCGGAAAGUGGCUCUUCGGAGUGUUAUAGCCGGGGCCAGAUGCCGCGUGUGGGGACCGAGGACUGCGGCUUCUGUCUCGGAUGCUGGCAUAACGGCGCAAUACCGC